AUGUAUCAGGAAAGUGCUCAAGCAAGUGAACUUUUCGUCGAAUUGACAGUGCAACAGUCUGAAGAUGAUCCAUUUUCUCUUCGAGAUGGUAUGAUCCGUUACAAAGGUAGAUUAUGGCUUCCUCCUAAUGUGGAUCUGAUUCCUAAAUUAUUUGAUGCAUUUCAUACAAGUCCGUUUGGGGGCCACUUGGGUAUUCCUGUCACUUUGCGCAGAUUGAAGCAGUUGUUCUACUGGAAGCACAUGAAAGCUCGAGUGAAGCAAUAUGUUCAGGAGUGCUUGAUUUGUCAGCGCGCGAAACCGGAUCGUAACAAGUACCUAGGCCUCCUCGAACCUUUGCCGGUGCCUCGUAAGUUUUGGCAGAUGCUCAUGAUGGAUUUUGUUGAAGGUCUGCCCCAUUCCAGCUGUUUCAACUGUGUCCUCGUCGUUGUUGACAAGCUGUCAAGAUAUAGUCAUUUUAUUGGUCUCUAA
rnacentral:rRNA from 1 species